UGCGCACGAAAGUUUUAGUUCAGAGACCUCUGGUGUCGAAUAUUUUUUUAUUUACUGGUUCAUACAAUUGUUUAUGUAGCUAGCUAAACAAGUCAAGUGUGCGAACACAGAAUAUAUAGAUGUUAAUAUUUGUGAAUGACGGGGAUCUGGGCUUGGUCGGGUGUCUGUAGUAUAUCUCUCCCGUCCGACUCAUUGAAGAAUAACUCUUUGUCUAAUCUGAGUGCAGGUUACCUGGACUGCAGCAAUGCAACAAAACACCUGGAGUGAAGAAACAUUGGUCACACUGGACAAAAGAGAUGUGAGUAGG